GUCAUAUAGUUUUUAUUCUUCACUAAUAUCAAUUUACCAAAAUGAUUUUUUUUAAGUGUGAUUUAAUAACUAUUACAAUUACAAUUCUCUCAGUUUUGAUUAUUCCAGCGUAUUCUGUUUUUGAAAAAAAAUGUGAACAUAUUUUAAUAUUUGGCCCCCACUUUCAGAGUAA